UGAGUUGGCCAGACAAUCGCUGUUUUUUAAACAGAGGAAAGUCCGGGCUCCACAGAGCAAGGUGCCAGGUAACUCCUGGGGGGCGCGAGCCUACGGAAAGUGCAGCAGAAAAGAAACCGCCUCUAAUUUUUUGAGGUAAGGGUGAAAUGGUGCGGUAAGAGCGCACCGCAUGGGUGGCAACAUUCCAUGGCAAGGUAAACCCCACCUGGAGCAAGGCCAAAUAGGAACCCACUGGUGUUGCUCGCACCGGGUUCGGGUAGGCUGCAAGAGAGGCAUGGUGACAUGCCUGCCAGAUGAAUGAUUGUCCCAGACAGAACCCGGCUUAUCGGCCGACUCACUUA
rnacentral:RNase_P_RNA from 1 species